AUUGAACGCUAGCGGGAUGCCUUACACAUGCAAGUCGAACGGAGCGGCGAACGGGUGAGUAAUGCCUCGGAACGUGCCUAGUAGCGGGGGAUAACUACGCGAAACGGUAGCUAAUACCGCAUACUAUUGGCGCGGCCGAUAUCGGAUUAGCUAGUUGGGGGGGUAACGGCCCACCAAGGCGACGAUCCGUAGCUGGUUUGGGAGGACGACCAGCCAACCUGGGACUGAGACACGGCCCAGACUCCUACGGGAGGAAGCAGUGGGGAAUUUUGGACAAUGGGGGAAACCCUGAUCCAGCCAUGCCGCGUGUGGGAUGAAGGCCUUCGGGUUGUAAAGCACUUUUGGCAGGAAGGCGGUACCUGCAGAAUAAGCACCGGCUAACUACGUGCCAGCAGCCGCGGUAAUUC
rnacentral:rRNA from 1 species